rnacentral:tRNA from 1 species
GUCCUUGUAGUAUAAGCUAAUACACUAGUCUUGUAAACUAAAAAUGGAACACGCCCCCUAGGACA